rnacentral:rRNA from 1 species
AACGAACGCUGGCGGCAUGCCUAACACAUGCAAGUCGAACGAGACCUUCGGGUCUAGUGGCGCACGGGGCCUUACCGCGGGGGAACCUGCCCUUGGGUUCGAAUAAACUCCCGGAAGGGGGUCCAAUUCCCGGAUAAUUUCUUCGGCCAAAGAUUUAUCGCCUUUGGAUGGGCCCGCGUUGGAUUAGCUAGUUGGUAGGGUAAAAGCCUACCAAGGCGACGAUCCAUAGCUGGUCUGAGAGGAUGAUCAGCCACACUGGGACUGAGACACGGCCCAGACUCCUACGGGAGGCAGCAGUGGGGAAUAUUGGACAAUGGGCGAAAGCCUGAUCCAGCAAUGCCGCGUGAGUGAUGAAGGCCUUAGGGUUGUAAAGCUCUUUUACCCGGGAUGAUAAUGACAGUACCGGGAGAAUAAGCUCCGGCUAACUCCGUG